rnacentral:misc_RNA from 1 species
AGCACCCUUUGUUCCAAGUUUGAGAACCUUAAUAGCCACAGGUCCUUCCAUUUGAUUGAGUAAUCCUUUAUACACAGAACCAAAGCUGCCAGAACCAAUUAAGUUGUGGUCAGAGAAUCCACCUGUUGCAUCAUAAAGUUCCUUGUAAGAUACCUGAGCAGGGUGAUCCAUGUCUAUGGGUACUGCAGACAACUUCUUUUUUGAUACUCUCCGUCGAUAUGCAAGCACGGAGACUAACAUCAACAGGACACACAAAAUCACGCAUGGAAUUAUGAUUGCUAACUUAAUA